UGGCUUUGAGGGACAGGUGAGAGUGGACCACUAUCGGUGAUACUUUUGGCCUGGCGUCUGGGAAGAAUGAUGCAUCUGACUCCAUGGCUGCCUCCUUUGAGUCAUGACAAAACUGGCAGAAUAAAAAGCUCUGCAUUGCCUCCCAACCUGACAAAGAAAGAUGACCUCCAGAGAACAGCUGCAAGGUACACAGGUGAAACUCCAUCUCCACCUCUGAGAAAGUUCUGAGAAUACUUUCCCCUUCUCAUAGCAGGUACCAAAAGAUUGCACAUGGAAAGAGCACACAGAGACCAGGCAUCUCCCAGCAAUCUACAUAUGCCACAGCUCUUUUCAGUGAGUUCCAACCCCAACCUGACAUCAACCUCAUCAGCCUUGGACAAAUCAGCUACCGCAGGAGUUUCUCUGCCCAGUACCUCCACAACUGCACUGCAGGAUGUCUCAUGGACUGUGUACAUGAUGCCCCCUUCGCUGUCUCCAGGGCAGCCCUACCAAAUUUAUGUAAAUCCAUACUGACCUACUUACCUGUCCACUAUUUCUAAGCUAGGCUGGGAAAUGUGCCAGUUUGGUGAGUCUCGGAAUUCAUAUUUCACAUAUUCUGAUGAUAAGGCAGCAAUUCCUGUUACUAAUAUCUCACUAUUCAAACAAGGAUCUAUUUUAAAGUAUAGCGACUCAGUCACAGCUUCAGGCUCACUUCAAACUCAGGUUGACACCACUGCAUAAACAAAAUAUGCCUGAUCUUUCAAAGAUUUCUUUGGAACUCUAAUAACAAACAAACCAAACCAAACCAAUCUGAAAAUCAGUAGAAUAACUGUUCCCUUACAUCAAUUUUUUUUUUUUUUUUUACUUCCCAUCCUUUAGGAAACCAUGCUUUUGAAAGCCAUAAAAUGAAGGCUAUUCAUCACUGAAAUGUCAUGUCAUCACAUUUUCAAAAGCCUUCCACAGAAAGACAGACAAUGUAAGAUGUCAGAGUAAAGUCUUUGCUUAAUGCAAUUAGCAUUCAAAUAUUUUAAUCAAUAAAAUAUGACAAUUAGACUGGGCUAGCAGCCAACUCCCUGAGAGCCACACCUUUUGUCACACAUAGUCUUAUUUGCACUGCUGUGUUACUGAACAGUAGUAAACAUCAAAACAGUAAAUAGCCAUGAUACAGUUUGGGAGCUGUAUCAACUUUAAAUCUUUACCUUUGAUGGCAGCAAAAUGAACAACCAAAAAUCAACAGCAAGUAAUGAUUUCCUGGAGACUGGGCUGGUUAUGAUAUAUUUAAGAUCCAUGUGACCCAUUAGCCAGUUGAAAAUGGUAAAUGAGAGAUCUAUGUGUUUGCAUGUGACCUGAAACAGUUAACAAUACUGAUAUUGAAUCAUCAGCACAGUGAUGACACAGAAAACAAACCCUCUUCAACAUUUGUUUUCCCAAUGGCACUUGGCAGAUGAGCACACAGCAAAUGCAUCUGCUGAAGUGCUGAUGCCUAAUGAGUCACUAACAUUGCUAAGUUCAGUUUGCAUCUUUUAGUGCAAAGAGAGAGACAGAAAGGAAGGAGUAGUUUUGAGAAGUUUUCUACUAAAAAGCCAAUCUGAAAAUGGCUGCCUAAUUAGAUAGUGAUUUGGUCAUUGAGUCACCAGUGCCUGAAAAAAUCUAUUUACUGUUUAUCACAAAUGUUUAUCACAAAUGGCAUCAAGGCAAAAAAUCAAAUGUCAGUAGUGUCUUCCUGAACCAUGUAAUAAAGUAGCCUUUUACUAGAAAUACCCACAUGAAGGAUACUUCACCUAUCUCUUUCUUCAGUUGCAAGAUUUCAGAUUCUUCCAGGUUCCUUGAACACAGCUUUUUCGGUUGCCCUUAAGUACAAGAAGUAAGCACUCCCUGUCAACAGAGCACUUGUAUUCUGCAAGCGAACUAUGGCCACUCCCAUUAAAGUUGAUAAAAAAACCAGUUCCUAAUGAGUUUCAGAUGACAACUUUGUCCAUAAAAGCACACAUGUGGGAGGAAGACAAGCAGUUCAAAACCAACUGGUCUUCAUAUGAGGUACAGCUAUAAUUCCCAUGAAAAGAAACACUGGGGUCUGUUAUUUGUAAGGGCUGCCAUCAGGCUUUCUCAUACUGUCCAACCAUUUCUGUUGAUUAGGAGAGCAAAAAUACUUUUGCUUAAUAGCAAACCUCAACUGUGAUGCAGCAAUGUUUUCAUUCUCUCAUGACAUUCAGGGAGAGUUUUCCUGUCACCACUAUUCCCUUUUGCACCUGGUCACAUUUAUUUUCUAAACCAGUGAUCUAGUGAGAAACUCAUAAGCAAAGGAGCUAUGUUCAUGUUCCCAUGCUGAACCAGUGCCCACUGAAUAGGCAGUUCUGUUAAGCAACUGGUAGGUCAAUGCCAAAAAACACUCUUGGAUUCUUCAACAGCCAAAGCAAAUGACAGGAAAAGGCACAUCUCUAGGCCAAAUAUACUUACAUGAAAUCAGCAAGCCCAGUUCCAAUCCAAGAAAAGCAAUGAUUUGUCAAGGGGAAUUUGGUAAAGACUUUGGUAGCUCCAGAAUUUUAUUCACAGUAUAGAAGCCCUAUCAUAAACUAAAUUUUUUCAUUAUAGAUGUAAACAGUUUGUGCUCUUGGUUAUCAUCAUUCAAUGAAUAAUUAAUCUCUCAUGCUGGGGAACCUUGUGUAUCUAUGGAACUUAGAGCUUCUUAUUAGGAAAAUAAAGUAACAUGGUUCAUUGCACUGCUUUGAACAGCUGUGUUUCAACUUUUGCAUAUACCUUUAAUGAUCACUGAUAAUACAAAGGCACCAGCCAUUCUUGCCCAGGACUGUGGGGAGACUGGCAGUGGGUCAUGGCCU